rnacentral:rRNA from 1 species
GAUCGAGGGAAAUUAGUACCGAAGUCCGGGAUGGAAGAUGGCGAGAAAAGCUGUGUGUAUUUCUGCGGUGCCCGUACCGCAAACCGACACAGGUAGGUAGGAAGAAGAUUCUAAGGCCAACGGGAGAAGGGUUGUUAAGGAACUCGGCAAAUUGACCCCGUAACUUCGGGAGAAGGGGUGCUCUAGAGAUAGAGCCGCAGAGAAUCGGCCCAAGCAACUGUUUACCAAAAACACAGGUUUGUGCUAAAUCGAAAGAUGACGUAUACGAGCUGACGCCUGCCCGGUGCUGGAAGGUUAAGAGGAGAUGUGCAAGCAUUGAAUCGAAGCCCCAGUGAACGGCGGCCGUAACGAUAACGGUCCUAAGGUAGCGAAAUUCCUUGUCAGGUAAGUUCUGACCCGCAUGAAAGGCGUAAUGAUUUGGGCACUGUCUCGACAGCCCGCCCGGCGAAAUUGUAGUACCGGUGAAGAUGCCGGUUACCCGCGACAAGACGGAAAGACCCCAUGGAGCUUUACUGUAGCCUAAUAUUGGGUUUCGAUGUUGCAUGCACAGGAUAGAUGGGACACUGGGAAGCAUGAGCUUUGGCCUUUGUGGAGUGGCCGUUGGGAUACCAUCCUUGCGAUAUUGGAAUUCUAACCUGCGCCUUUGAAUCAAGGCGGGGGACAUUGUUAGGUGGGCAGUUUGACUGGGGCGGUCGCCUCCUAAAGAGUAACGGAGGCGUUCAAAGGUUCGCUCAGCUUGAACGGAAAUCAAGCAAAAGAGUGCAAACGCAGAAGCGAGCCUAACUGCGAGACUGACGGGUCGAGCAGUAACGAAAGUUGGAGUUAGUGAUCCGGUGGUAUGUGAGUGGAAAUGCCAUCGCUCAACGGAUAAAAGUUACCCUGGGGAUAACAGGCUGAUCUCCCCCAAGAGUCCACAUCGACGGGGAGGUUUGGCACCUCGAUGUCGGCUCAUCGCAUCCUGGGGCUGUAUUCGGUCCCAAGGGUUGGGCUGUUCGCCAAUUAAAGCGGUACGCGAGCUGGGUUCAGAACGUCGUGAGACAGUUCGGUCCCUAUCUGUCGUGGGCGCAGGAUAUUUGAUGGGAGCUGUUCCUAGUACGAGAGGACCGGAGCGGACGUACCUCUGGCGCACCAGUUGUUCUGCCAAGGGCAUAGCUGGGCAACUAUGUACGGAUCGGAUAAACGCUGAAAGCAUCUAAGCGUGAAGCCGACCCAAAGAUAAGAUAUCCCAUUGUUUCAAACAAGUAAGACCCCUUGAAGACUACAAGGUUGAUAGGCAUGAUGUGUAAGUGGAGUGAUCCAUUCAGCAAGCAUGUACUAAUAGGUCGAGGGCUUGACC